UACGGAGGGUGCAAGCGUUGUCCGGAAUCACUGGGCGUAAAGGGCGCGUAGGCGGCUCGGUAAGUAGGGGGUGAAAUCCUGCGGCUCAACUCCAGAACUGCCUUUGAUACUGAAGAUCUUGAGUUCGGGAGAGGUGAGUGGAACUGCGAGUGUAGAGGUGAAAUUCGUAGAUAUUCGCAAGAACACCAGUGGCGAAGGCGGCUCACUGGCCCGAUACUGACGCUGAGGCACGAAAGCGUGGGGAGCAAACAGG
rnacentral:rRNA from 1 species